rnacentral:lncRNA from 1 species
GGGAGAGAGGAAGAAGGUGAGGGGAGGGUGGGGGGAGGAGAGGAAGAGAGCCAAUGCCAACGUCUGCCUUUCACAUGCUUGUACAUACACAUGGGUACACAUAUGUGUGUAUGCACACACACAUGGACGGACACACACAGAGGCAAAAACACAGAGACAUAGACACACACAGAGACAUAUAAAAACACAUAGAGAGACAGACAGACAGACAGACACACAGAUCAGAC